rnacentral:rRNA from 1 species
CUUCGGACUGAGUAAAGCGGCGGACGGGUGAGUAACGCGUAGGAAUCUACCCAGUGGUGGGGGACAACUUGGGGAAACCCAAGCUAAUACCGCAUACGCCCUACGGGGGAAAGCGGGGGACCUUCGGGCCUCGCGCCAUUGGAUGAGCCUGCGUCGGAUUAGCUAGUUGGUAGGGUAAAGGCCUACCAAGGCGACGAUCCGUAGCUGGUCUGAGAGGACGAUCAGCCACACUGGGACUGAGACACGGCCCAG